rnacentral:rRNA from 1 species
AACGCGAAGAACCUUACCUGGCCUUGACAUGCAUCUCUAAGCUGGUGAAAGCCAGUGAGUCCCGAAAGGGACAAUUUGCACAGGUGCUGCAUGGCUGUCGUCAGCUCGUGUCGUGAGAUGUUGGGUUAAGUCCCGCAACGAGCGCAACCCUCGCCUUUAGUUGCCAUCAUUCAGUUGGGCACUCUAGAGGGACCGCCGGCGGCAAGCCGGAGGAAGGUGGGGAUGAAGUCAAGUCAUCAUGGCCCUUACACCCUGGGCUACACACGUGCUACAAUGGCGGUGACAGUGGGCAGCGAGCUCGCGAGAGUCAGCUAAUCCCAAAAAACCGUCCCAGUUCAGAUUGCACUCUGCAACUCGGGUGCAUGAAGGUGGAAUCGCUAGUAAUCGCAGAACAGCAGGCUGCGGUGAAUACGUUCCCGGGCCUUGUACACACCGGAGUGC